rnacentral:misc_RNA from 1 species
GGAAGGAUCAUUAAUGAAAAACAUAAUCCGGCGAGGGAAAGGCGGAGAGUUGUAGCUGGCCUAGGCAACGUGCACGCUCUCUUCCGGACUUUCGUCGUAUGGGCGUGGGGGGGCGACCCCUCGCGUCUUCAUAUACCUCUUCGUGUAGAAAGUCUUAGAAUGUCAUCAUCAUCAUGGAGUCGCGACUUCCAGGAGACGCGAUUCUUUGAGACAAAAGUUAUUACAACUUUCAGCAACGGAUCUCUUGGCUCUCGCAUCGAUGAAGAACGCAGCGAAUCGCGAUAUGUAAUGUGAAUUGCAGAUCUACAGUGAAUCAUCGAAUCUUUGAACGCACCUUGCGCUCCUCGGUGUUCCGAGGAGCAUGCCUGUUUGAGCGUCAGUAAAUUCUCAACCCCUCUCGAUUCUUUUUCGAGCGGGCGCUUGGAUGGUGGGGGCUGCCGGAGACCUGGAUUCGUUCAGGACUCGGGCUCCUCUGAAAUGAAUCGGCUUGGGGUCGACUUUUCGACUUUGCAUGACAAGGCCUUUGGCGUGAUAAUGAUCGCCGUUCGCCGAAGUGCAC